GAAGAUUUGGUGAAUGUUGAUAUGUUCCCAUAAUUCCUUUUAAGGCUUUUGCCCUGAAAUUUCAUGACCAGCUGGGAGUUGGACAGAGGGCAAAUGCAGAUAUCAUUUCUUUGUCUUUGGGUAUCAGAAUUCACCCACAGGCAUGACAAGCACCACCUCUGAACCAAUCCUGACAGAGUUUAAAUGAGAGAAUCUGGGGUAUCGAUGACAGAAACUCUGAGCGCUGACCUGUAUAUUUCAUAAAGGAAACUAUCUCAAGAAGAACCCAUAUCAGUUUUAGGAACUUGUGUCUAAUGGUAAGCGUAGAUGUUGAAAAGAAUAUUUGUCUGGUAUGUUUUCCCUGUUAUCAAGAUGGCAACAGUUCUCUGCACUGGUUCUUGUCAGUGCUUCAGGGCUGGGCUCCUGAGUGGGCCAGAUUCCUGUAAGGAGGCUGCUGAAGGCUGGGUGACUCAUGGGGCUGCAGAAGAGGUGGGUGUUCCUGAGGAAUGAGGGGGGCUGAUUUCCAGGGGUGGAUGAAUGCACAUGCUGAGUUUCUAAAGUGGUUUGUAGCCUGGAAAGCCUUGGCAGAAUAUGAGUUUGCUGUUUUAUCUGGCAGAGUAAAGGACGAUUUCCUUACCUCCUUCACAGUAAGGGCAUGUGUUUGUAGCAAAUUCUUGCCCACGCCUGCACAUGACUGUUUUCCACACUCAAAUUUUUAACCCGCCAUUCAGGCAUCCCAAAUUCUCGCAUGCCUUUUGGUUUCUCAUGCCUUGCAAAGUCUGACAUAAAUGAAAAAUCAAUUCUGAGAGGCGCUUUGUUCACCAUUUGAGUAAGAAACCUGUCCACUGGAAUAAAGGGAAACAUCUUAUUUCCUGUAUCAUAAAAUGUACACUUGGAGAAAGAAACAAUACAUGCCAGAAUGACAUCUGCUCUAUGAAUUGUCAAGCUAUAAAAAAAGGUUCUUGACAGUCUCAGAGCCUACAUUGUUUCACUGCAUCUGCUGCUCUGUUAAAGCAUUACUGAAAUUGUAUAAUGCCACAAGGGGGAGGGUACAGAAUAAAAACAGACCACAUUUCUUCCAGAGACCGUUUGAAUGAAAUAAAAUAGGCUACACUCCUGGAAGUUACCCACAGGAUGCAAACCAUCUGAUUUUCAUUGAGCAAUUAGCUGCUAGUUCUUGACAAUAAUGAUACCCUUUGCAUUCUCUUUCAGUCGUUUCAGUGUGGUCUGAGAUUUUAAUAACUUUCUUGAGUGUUUUCAGCUUUAGUAACACGUCCUUCCGUUGUAGGAUACCAGAUGCCUCCCUUGGGCUUGGUUUGAGGUAAUUCCCACAAAAAUCAAUGGAAAUAUUUCCCCUGUAAGGGAAAGUGUUCAACUCAUCAGACAUUUCACUCUGAACAAGCAAGCAAGAAGAUUACCAGGCUGCAUGUUCUACUGGUUGUUGAUCUCUACUGAUGUACAGCUCUUGCUGAACUUGAAAACUGUAAC
ensembl:lncRNA